UACGGAGGGGGCUAGCGUUGUUCGGAAUUACUGGGCGUAAAGGGCACGUAGGCGGGCUGUUAAGUCGGGGGUGAAAUCCUGAGGCUCAACCUCAGAAUUGCCUUCGAUACUGAUGGUCUUGAGUGCGGGAGAGGUGAGUGGAAUUCCCAGUGUAGAGGUGAAAUUCGUAGAUAUCAGGAGGAACAUCUGAGGCGAAGGCGGCUUUCUGGACAGACACUGACGCUGAGGCGCGAAAGCCAGGGGAGCAAACGGG
rnacentral:rRNA from 1 species